rnacentral:misc_RNA from 1 species
UCCCCGUUACCGGGGCAGUCUAGCUAGAAAAAUUCAACUAACUAUAAGGGUUGCGCUCGUUAAUGGACUUAACCAUACAUCUCACGACACGAGCUGACGACGGCCAUGCAGCACCUGUCACUUGGCUCAAUAAAGCACUCUCUCCUUUCGGAGAAAUUCCAAGGAUGUCAAACCCUGGUAAGGUUCUACGCUUACUAUCGGAUUAAACAACACGCUCCACCGCUUGUGCGGGUCCCCGUCAAUUCCUUUAUGUUUUAGUCUUGCGACCGUACUCCACAGGCGGGAUGCUUAACGCGUUAGCUUCGCAACAUCUCGGGUCGAUACGAGAAACUGCUAGCAUCCAUCGUUUACAGCUAGGACUAC